AUGGAGGGGGGGUUGUCGCUGGCCUUUUGCGAGGCAUGUGCACGCUUUUCUUUCGGACCCUUCGUCGUCUUUCAAACUAACUUGUGCACCUAAUGUAGGAUGCCCUUUCUUUCGGGAGAGGGGGACCUAUGUAUUCAUACCAUCUUCGUGUAGAAAGUCUCAGAAUGUUUUUUACUACCGUCGAGUCGCGACUUCUAGGAGACGCGAAUCUUCGGGACAAAAGUUAUUACAACUUUCAGCAAUGGAUCUCUUGGCUCUCGCAUCGAUGAAGAACGCAGCGAAUCGCGAUAUGUAAUGUGAAUUGCAGAUCUACAGUGAAUCAUCGAAUCUUUGAACGCACCUUGCGCUCCUCGGUGUUCCGAGGAGCAUGCCUGUUUGAGCGUCAGUAAAUUCUCAACCCUUCUCGAUUUGCUUCGAGAGGGUGCUUGGAUAGUGGGGGCUGCCGGAGUCUCAGGACUCGGGCUCUCCUGAAAUGCAUUGGCUUGCGGUUGAUUUUCGACUUUGCGCGACAAGGCUUUCGGCGUGAUAAUGAUCGCCGUUCGCCGAAGCGCAUGAAUGAACGUCCCGCGCCUCUAAUAAGUCGACUGGUACCUCUCUUAGGGGAGCGAAGGUCUUCCUUCUUGACGUUUGACCUCAAAUCAGGUAGGACUACCCGCUGAACUUAAGCAUAUCAAUAAGCGGAGGAAAAGAAACUAACAAGGAUUCCCCUAGUAACUGCGAGUGAACCGGGAAAAGCUCAAAUUUUGAAUCUGGCGGUCUUAGGGCCGUCCGAGUUGUAAUCUAGAGAAGCGUCUCCGCGCUGGACCGUGUAUAAG
rnacentral:rRNA from 1 species